GAUGAACGCUGGCGGCGUGCUUAACACAUGCAAGUCGAACGAAGCACUUCAAUCGAUUUCUUCGGAAUGAAGUUUUAGUGACUGAGUGGCGGACGGGUGAGUAACGCGUGGGUAACCUGCCUCACACAGGGGGAUAACAGUUGGAAACGGCUGCUAAUACCGCAUAAGCGCACAGUACCGCAUGGUACAGUGCGAAAAACUCCGGUGGUGUGAGAUGGACCCGCGUCUGAUUAGCUAGUUGGCAGGGCAACGGCCUACCAAGGCGACGAUCAGUAGCCGACCUGAGAGGUGACCGGCCACAUUGGGACUGAGACACGGCCCAAACUCCUACGGGAGGCAGCAGUGGGGGAUAAUUGGCACAAUGGGGGAAACCCUGAUGCAGCGACG
rnacentral:rRNA from 1 species